UUUUGUAGCAAAAUUUUUAUAAUUAGAUUCAUUUUCAUGUUGUGAAGAAUACAACUUUCUACAUCAGAUGAGAUAUAUGUUAAAGAAAGCAUUAAAAAUAAGAAUAACAAAUCAUACCGCUCUUCAUUGCCAGAACCUCCGCCACCUAUUAUGAAUAAGCCCAAUGCUAAAAAAAUUGAAAGAGUACAAAAUUGGUUGAAAGAUUAAAUUAAGUAACAGAGAUGCAAAAUGUUAUUCUCAACGAGCUUGCAGAAAUAAAAGUUCUUUUAAAAGAACUUAUAGAAAUUAAGUUUCAGGCUACUGGGGUGAAGUUGCUAGAAUUGGUGGAUGAAGUGGUUACACUGGAUAAUAAACUAAAAGAUAAAACCGAAAAUAUGAUUAAAAGGGACCAAAAGCAAUUCUUUUUGACCG